CUUUAUGGCGGCUGUACGUGUGGGCACGCUUGCGUGCGCCGGAACUUGCCAAUUCCACCGGUCUGUCAACCCACGUACCGCUGCCACCCUU
rnacentral:antisense_RNA from 1 species